rfam:Chryseobacterium gleum ATCC 35910 genomic scaffold SCAFFOLD1, whole genome shotgun sequence.
AACGGGGAAGCCGAAAACCGUGUUUCAGAGUAGGCA